rnacentral:tRNA from 1 species
UAGCCGGGUCGUCUAGCGGCCAAGGAUGCGGGGCUCUGGAGCCCCCGUGACCGGGGUUCGAAUCCCCGCCCGGCU